UAUAUCCCGUCCCCAAAUUCGGACCUCAUAUCCCGAACUUCAUAUCCCAUCCUUAUAUUCCGUCCUCAUAUCCCAACCUCAUAUCCCGUCCUCAUAUCCUGACCUUAUAUCCCAUCCUCAUAUCCUGAUCUUAUAUCCCGUCCUCAUAUCCCAACCUCAUAUCCCGUCCUCAUAUCCUGAACUUAUAUCCCGUCCUCAUGUCCUGACCUUAUAUCCCAUCCUCAUAUCCUGACCUUAUAUCCCAUCAUCAUAUCCCAACCUCAUAUCCCGUCCUCAUAUCCUGAACUUAUAUCCCGUCCUCAUAUCCUGACCUUAUAUCCUAUCCUCAUAUCCUGAACUUAAAUCCCGUCCUCAUGUCCUGACGUUAUAUUGCGUCCUGACCUCAUAUCUCGACCUUAUAUACCGUCCUCAUAUCCUGACCUUAUAUCCCGUCCUCAUAUCCCGACCUUAUAUCCCGUCCUUAUAUCCUGAUCUUAUAUCCAGUCCUCACAUCCUGACCUCAUAUCCCUUCCUUAUAUCCCGACCUCACGUCCUGUCCUCACAUCCUGACCUCAUAUCCUGUCCUCAUAUCCUGACCUCAUAUCCCGUCCCCAAAUUCGGACCUCAUAUCCUGACAUCAUAUCCCGUCCUCAUAUCCCAACCUCAUAUCCCGUCCUCAUAUCCUGACCUUAUAUCCCGUCCUUACGUCCUGACCUCCUAUCUCGACCUUAUAUACCGUCCUCAUAUCCCGACCUUGUAUCCCGUCCUCAUAUCCUGACCUUAUAUCCCGUCCUCAUGUCCUGACCUUAUAUCCCAUCCUCAUGUCCUGACCUUAUAUCCCGUCCUCAUGUCCUGACCUUAUAUCCCGUCCUCAUAUCCUGUCCUCAUAUCCUGACCUCAUAUCCCGUCCUCAUAUCCUGACCUUAUAUCCCGUCCUCAUGUCCUGACCUUAUAUCCCGUCUUCAUGUCCUGACCUUAUGUCCCGUCCUCAUAUCCCGUCCUCAUGUCCUGACCUUAUAUCCCGUCCUCAUAUCCCGUCCUCAUAUCCCGACCUUAUAUCCCGUCCUCAUGUCCUGACCUUAUAUUCCGUCCUCAUGUCCUGACCUUAUAUCCCGUCCUCAUGUCCUGACCUUAUAUCCCGUCCUCAUGUCCUGACCUUACAUCCCGUCCUCAUGUCCUGACCUUAUAUCUCGUCCUCAUGUCCUGACCUUAUAUCCCGUCCUCAUGUCCUGACCUUAUAUCCCGUCCUCAUAUCCCGUCCUUAUAUCCCGUCCUCAUGUCCUGACCUUAUAUCCCGUCCUUAUAUCCUGACCACAUGUCCUAACCUCAUGUCCAUCCUCCUCACUGACUAAAACCAAAGUCAGUGUUACCAAUAAGACCACUGCACAAUAACCACAAAUUUCCAUCAUAUAGUGACUAUUAUGCCCUAUUAUUCUCAGGGCUCAAGUCCUGCAGGAACACAUGGGAGCUGAGUUCCUGCACUUUUUCCACAGCAGGAACACCAUUCCCAUUAGAAGGAUUCCUGCAAGACUGGCCCUUGAGUAGAAAACUUGGGUUUCAACACAGGAUCCUCUGCUGAUAAUCUUUAUAACUGACCGAUCAACCAUGAAGAGAGACAGGAACAAGAUGGCCGACAAGAUCAUAAACCUCACUCUACAGAUACUCUUCCGGCUUACUGGAGAGGAUUACACAGUAGUGAAGAAGUCCUCUAGUGGGCGCUGUCGGGCCCCUGUGUGUGAAGAAUGGGAAAGAACCCUGAGUCCAAUCCCGGGGCCCCCACCUCACUCCCUGAUACAUGAGGAAAUGGAUGAACAGAAGAUCCUAGAACUGAUCAACAAGAUGAUGGA